GAUCCUGGCUCAGGACGAACGCUGGCGGCGUGCCUAAUACAUGCAGGUAGAACGCUGAAGGAGGAGCUUGCUCUUCUGGAUGAGUUGCGAACGGGUGAGUAACGCGUAGGUAACCUGCCUGGUAGCGGGGGAUAACUAUUGGAAACGAUAGCUAAUACCGCAUAACAUUGACUAUUGCAUGAUAGUCAAUUGAAAGGUGCAAAUGCACCACUACCAGAUGGACCUGCGUUG
rnacentral:rRNA from 1 species